rnacentral:rRNA from 1 species
UACGGGGGGGGCAAGCGUUGUUCGGAAUUACUGGGCGUAAAGGGCUCGUAGGCGGCCAACUAAGUCAGACGUGAAAUCCCUCGGCUUAACCGGGGAACUGCGUCUGAUACUGGAUGGCUUGAAUCCGGGAGAGGUGAGUGGAACUGCGAGUGUAGAGGUGAAAUUCGUAGAUAUUCGCAAGAACACCAGUGGCGAAGGCGGCUCACUGGCCCGAUACUGACGCUGAGGCACGAAAGCGUGGGGAGCAAACAGG